rnacentral:lncRNA from 1 species
ACUUGAACACGUCCACACUUGGUCCUAACACAACCUUCCCUUUGUCUCACCCAAAUUCUUCUAGCUGCGGCUCAAGCCACUGGAAGAAUGAAGCCUCUGUCAGAGAAAGGCAACUCCUUGUGAACCAGUGCGCCUUUCCCUGGCAUGGCAGCUGUGGACAGCAGUCAAUCUCGUUGCUGAUGAAGACACAGAAGACAGUGACACCUGGGUCACGCCAGGAAGCCAGAGCUAUGAAGGCCUCAGGGUUGGGUCAUCCGAGAAGGGUCAUGCUAAAGGAAAAGACAGCGACAUGCCUCAGCAAACAGCAAUCCCACAGUAUCUACUUUACAAAACGUUUAAAAAAUGUCAAAGGGGAACCAGUAAGAAUGAAGACUCUGAAGAGAUUUAAUGGCUUCUCCUUUCUACAAGUGACAAACAAGUAGAGUCUCUAGCAUGCUGGAUUUGAGAGUAGGACUCAGAAUAAAAUAAGCAUUCAAACAGA